ensembl:lncRNA
GAGAAAAGAAAAAAAGAACAUGAAAAAAAGAAAAAAGAGAAAAGAUAAAAAAGAAAAAAGAUAAAGAAAAGAGAAAAGAAAAAAAGAAAAUAGAAAUAAAAAAGAGGACAGAAAAAUAUGAAAAAAAGAAAAAAAGAAAAGAAAAAAACAGUAGAUGAAAAAAGAAAAAACAAAAGGAAAAACGAAUAAUGACAAGAGAAGAAAGGUAAAGAGAAAAGAAGAAAAAAGCCAAGUCAAAAAGUAAAGAAUAACUCGAAGGAAGGAGUGGAUGGCAAGAAAUACAGAGAAAGCAGUGCAUAGCACAGCAGAGCAAAGCAAGGCAAAAUAGCAGCCAAAGCCACGAGAAUCAAGAAAAAAAGCCAAGUCAAAAAGUAAAGAAUAACUCGAAGGAAGGAGUGGAUGGCAAGAAAUACAGAGAAAGCAGUGCAUAGCACAGCAGAGCAAAGCAAGGCAAAAUAGCAGCCAAAGC